AUUGAACGUUGGCGGCAUGGAUUAGGCAUGCAAGUCGAGCGAGAAGUGUAGCAAUACACGGAAAGCGGCGGAAGGGAGAGUAAUACGUGGGAAUCUGCCCUUAGACCUGGGAUAGCAGCGGGAAGCUGCUGGUAAUACCAGAUAAUGUCUAUGGACCAAAGGUGUGAUUCCGUCUAGGGAUGAGCCCACGUCCUAUUAGCUAGUUGGUAGGGUAAUGGCCUACCAAGGCGAUGAUGGGUAGCGGGUGUGAGAGCAUGACCCGCCUCACUGGGACUGAGACACUGCCCAGACACCUACGGGUGGCUGCAGUCGAGAAUCUUCGGCAAUGGGCGCAAGCCUGACCGAGCGAUGCCGCGUGCGGGAUGAAGGCCUUCGGGUUGUAAACCGCUGUCGAGGGGGAGCAACUUCCAUAGAGUUAUCUUUAAGGAUUGAGUGAUCCCUGGAGGAAGGACGGGCUAAGUUCGUGCCAGCAGCCGCAGUAAGAC
rnacentral:rRNA from 1 species